rnacentral:rRNA from 1 species
AAACUAACAAGGAUUCCCCUAGUAACGGCGAGUGAACCGGGAAGAGCUCAAAUUUGAAAUCUGACUUUCGGGUCCGAGUUGUAAUCUAUAGAGGCGUUUUCCGCGCUGGAUCGUGUCCAAGUCUCUUGGAACAGAGUAUCAAAGAGGGUGAUAAUCCCGUACUUAACACGACCACCAGUGCUAUGUGAUACGUCUUCUACGAGUCGAGUUGUUUGGGAAUGCAGCUCAAAAUGGGUGGUAAAUUCCAUCUAAAGCUAAAUAUUGGCGAGAGACCGAUAGCGAACAAGUACCGUGAGGGAAAGAUGAAAAGCACUUUGGAAAGAGAGUUAAACAGUACGUGAAAUUGUUGAAAGGGAAACGAUUGAAGUCAGUCGUGUUCAUUGGACUCAGCCGGUUCUGCCGGUCUACUUCCUUUGAACGGGUCAACAUCAGUUUCGUCUGGUGGAUAAGGGCAGGAGGAAUGUGGCACCCUCGGGUGUGUUAUAGCCUCUUGUCGCAUACACUGGGUGAGACUGAGGAAUGCAGCUUGCCUUUUGGCCGGGGUUCGCCCACGUACAAGCUUAGGAUGUUGACAUAAUGGCUUUAAACGACC